UCACAAAAGCCUUCUGCAUGCCGCGUUCACUUUUGCUGGGGGUGAAACCACCUCGAGGAGGUGCUGCAACUCCAUCAUGCUGAUAUCAGGGACUUUUCCCCCUCAAUCUCAGAGUGACUCCCCUCCUUCCCAGUACUGGCUUGGGGUGCUUUCCCACUGCUGCUCCAAUUGCAGUCACAUUUUUCAGGGAUGCCUAAUUUGACUCUGGUGACCAGCAUGCUAGUUAGUUAAAGAUACCUAGCUAGGUACAGAAGGAAUAUAAUUUGCUGGCAUAAUUUUGGAGUCAGACAAACCCGGCUUGACUAUCAGCCUUUCUACUUCAUACUAGCUUGUCUUGAACAGCUUAUUAAAGCUCAACAAGGAUUAUAACAUUUAUUUUAUAAAGUUGUUGUGAGGAAGAAAUAAAGUCAUAAAUGUAAAGCUCUAAAUUCAAUGUCUCCUGGUUACGGUCACUUUAAUGAUUUCUCCUUUUCUGACCUUGAAAACAUUUUAGCUCUUAGAAAAUUAAUUUCCAGUCAUUCCUCAUAGGCUUCCAGACAACUUCAGGGUGAGGAACAGUAUUAGCAAGGUUCAUGAGAAGACAGUAGGCCAGUGCCUCGGAUGUGUCAAUCUUGGUGACUGUCAACUGCCCUCUCCGGGGGAUGCUGCCUCCUCCUUUAAAAGCCAGCCAGCCUUUCCCGAGGCCCUUCAUUCCACAUGCCCCCCUAGAGGUGGGCACCUCACCCAAGGGCAGCCCGUCUGUGGGAUGGGCAGUGAUCCACAACGUGGUUUGACACAAAAAGGGACAAAGAAACUGGCAGCAUUGAGCAUGAGAUCCAGGAAGAAAAAGCAACACAAAGAUUCAAGAAAUGAAACCAGAACUAAAUCAUAUUAGGUGUUUAAAGAUGAAGGGGACUGAAAGACAUGGCUGAAUUUAUGCUUUUAGAAAGAUGGCUGAAUAAUGCAGAGUCAAGCUAAGAGUGAAGGGCUUGCUCUUGGAAAGGAGAAUGGAAAACGCAGAGGAGAAGUGAAAAGGGAGGAAUUAGCAGAGUAAGUCACUGCUUGGAUGUUGGGGUUAGGGGAAGGGAAGACAUGUGGACAACCCCAGAAGGCUAGGUCAAGGUUUAUGCUAGAGAGGAAACACAGCCUGGAGGAGCAAGAUUGGCUGAGGGAGCAGAGGUCUGGAUAUGCUGAGUUUGACAUCCACAUUGGAUUGUCAGAUAGGAAAAUUAAAAUGGACCUUUCAGACAUUUAAAUGGACAUGUCAGAAGUGCAUGGGAAAAUUCUUGUCUAAAGGCAUGCACAAGUGAUAGUAAGUGGAAGCCAUGGUCAUGGGGAUGGACGAAUCUACCUAUGGGUGUGCAGUAUGUAAAGAUGAGGACCCCAGGAUGAUAGCAGGGGCAACACUAUCUGUUAAGGGAAGUCUUCUCUGGACCUGAGUUUCCUCCUCUAUUAAAUGAGAGGGAUGGGCUCCAUGCUUUCUUAGGCUCCUUUCACCUCUAAAAUGUCUCAUUCCAUGC